rnacentral:rRNA from 1 species
UGGGGAAUAUUGGACAAUGGGCGCAAGCCUGAUCCAGCCAUGCCGCGUGAGUGAUGAAGGCCCUAGGGUUGUAAAGCUCUUUCACCGGUGAAGAUAAUGACGGUAACCGGAGAAGAAGCCCCGGCUAACUUCGUGCCAGCAGCCGCGGUAAUACGAAGGGGGCUAGCGUUGUUCGGAUUUACUGGGCGUAAAGCGCACGUAGGCGGACUUUUAAGUCAGGGGUGAAAUCCCGGGGCUCAACCCCGGAACUGCCUUUGAUACUGGAAGUCUUGAGUAUGGUAGAGGUGAGUGGAAUUCCGAGUGAAGAGGUGAAGUUCGUAGAUAUUCGGAGGAACACCAGUGGCGAAGGCGGCUCACUGGACCAUUACUGACGCUGAGGUGCGCAAGCGUGGAGAGCAAACAGG